rnacentral:misc_RNA from 1 species
UAUGAAGAACGUAGCGAAAUGCGAUACUUGGUGUGAAUUGCAGAAUCCCGUGAACCAUCGAGUCUUUGAACGCAAGUUGCGCCCGAAGCCAUUAGGCCGAGGGCACGCCUGCCUGGGCGUCACACGUCGUUGCCCCCCCAUCUACUCCUUCGGGAUUGCGGGGGGCGGAUGAUGGCCUCCCGUGCGCCUCGUCGCGCGGUUGGCAUAAAUGCCAAGUCCUCGGCGACGCACGCCACGACAAUCGGUGGUUGCGAAACCUCGGUUGCCCGUCGUGUGCGGUCGUCGCGCAUCGAGGGCUCGAAAAAAUUGCCGGGCUCCGGCUCGGCUUUCAACGCGACCCCAGGUCAGGCGGGGUUACCCGCUGAAUUUAAGCAUAUCAAUAAGCGGAGGA